UACGGAGGGUGCAAGCGUUGUCCGGAUUUAUUGGGUUUAAAGGGUGCGUAGGCGGCCCAUUAAGUCAGCGGUGAAAGCCCGGGGCUCAACCCCGGAACCGCCGUUGAUACUGGUGGGCUUGAGUAUGGACGAGGUUGGCGGAAUUGAAGAUGUAGCGGUGAAAUGCUUAGAUAUCUUCAAGAACACCGAUUGCGUAGGCAGCUAACUAGGCCAUAACUGACGCUGAGGCACGAAAGCGUGGGGAGCGAACAGG
rnacentral:rRNA from 1 species